rnacentral:rRNA from 1 species
AACGAACGCUGGCGGCAGGCCUAACACAUGCAAGUCGGACGAGGUAGCAAUACCUAGUGGCGCACGGGUGAGGAACACGUGGGAAUCUACCUUCUAGUAUGGGAUAACAUCGGGAAACUGGUGCUAAUACCGUAUGGUCCCUCCGGGGUAAAGAUUUAUCGCUAGAAGAUGAGCCCGCGUCAGAUUAGCUAGUUGGUGAGGUAAUGGCUCACCAAGGCUACGAUCUGUAGCUGGUCUUAGAGGACGAUCAGCCACACUGGAACUGAGACACGGUCCAGACUCCUACGGGAGGCAGCAGUGGGGAAUCUUGGACAAUGGGGGAAACCCUGAUCCAGCCAUGCCGCGUGAGUGAUGAAGGCCUUCGGGUUGUAAAGCUCUUUUGUGUGGGAAGAUAAUGACUGUACCACAAGAAUAAGCCCCGGCUAACUUCGUGCCAGCCGCCGCAGUAA